GACAGAGGGUGCAAACGUUGCUCGGAAUCACUGGGCGUAAAGGGCGUGUAGGCGGGUAGGCAAGUCGGGCGUGAAAUCCCUGAGCUCAACUCAGGAACUGCACUCGAAACUGCUUAUCUUGAGUGCCCGGAGAGGAAAGCGGAAUACCUGGUGGUAGAGGUGAAAUUCGUAGAUAUCAGGUGGAACACCAGUGGCGAAGGCGGCUUUCUGGACGGUAACUGACGCUGAGACGCGAAAAGCGUGGGGGAGCAAACAGG
rnacentral:rRNA from 1 species